rnacentral:rRNA from 1 species
AACGAACGCUGGCGGCAGGCCUAACACAUGCAAGUCGAGCGAGGACUUCGGUUCUAGCGGCGGACGGGUGAGUAACGCGUGGGAAUGUGCCCUUCUCUACGGAAUAGCCCUGGGAAACUGGGAGUAAUACCGUAUACGCCCUAUUGGGGAAAGAUUUAUCGGAGAAGGAUCAGCCCGCGUUGGAGUAGGUAGUUGGUGGGGUAAUGGCCUACCAAGCCGACGAUCCAUAGCUGGUUUGAGAGGAUGAUCAGCCACACUGGGACGGAGACACGGCCCAGACUCCUACGGGAGGCAGCAGUGGGGAAUCUUAGACAAUGGGGGCAACCCUGAUCUAGCCAUGCCGCGUGAGUGAUGAAGGCCUUAGGGUUGUAAAGCUCUGUCAGCUGGGAAGAUAAUGACGGUACCAGCAGAAGAAGCCCCGGCUAACUCCGUG